rfam:Mesocricetus auratus contig191303, whole genome shotgun sequence.
UUUCCAGUCAGGCUCUGGCUAAUAUCCAGCUCUUUGCUGGAAUAAGCCAAAGCCUGGCUGUAAG